AUGCGUGUUUCGGCAAGUCAGGCUACAGGCAAAGCUGAGGUUGCUGCUCCUUCCAAAAACUCCAGUGACUUUGGAAAAAUGGUUGAUGAUGGUUCCUCACCACCUCUCUGCCUGCCCCAUGACCCUGGAGGAGGUCUGUAUCUCGGGAGAAUGCUGGAGGCCUUCUUUGGCUUUCACAGGCCAGCCUGUCAUGCAGAGUCUCUCCAGAGAUCCUUCCCUGCCCUCCGUGGUCACCGUGGGAGCUGUGUAUCCCUGCGAUCCCUGGUAAUGCUCCUCCAGGGAAACCUGCGUGCGGUGUGGCAGGGGAUUAGUUUGAAAUGGAGAGACACGUACUCGGGGCCUUGCCAAGUCGUUCUGGAAAGAGCAUGGCGAUGCUUCAGUUUCCAUGGAAACCAGGUGACUGUCAGCUCACCUUUGGCCCUGGAAACAGCCUCCAGCUUCUGGGAACAACUGCAAGGCUCCUGCUUAUUAUGA
rnacentral:lncRNA from 1 species